rfam:Toxoplasma gondii VEG unlocalized apicoplast scaffold scaffold00511, whole genome shotgun sequence.
AGGUCUAUCGUCUAAUGGGUAAGGACAAAAACCUUCUAAGUUUUUUAUGUAGGUUCGAAACCUACUAGGCCUA